UCGGGGAUCGUCUAAUGGUAGGACAACGGCCUCUGAAGCCGUUAAUCUUAGUUCGAAUCUAAGUCCCCGAA
rnacentral:tRNA from 1 species